AGAGAAAAACACUGCCCAUCAGAGCACCUGAACAAAAAGGCUGGGCCAGAAGAGAUGGGAAAUGGAUAUGGAGGAAGACAGAAAGAGAGAUCUGUUUCACAUUUCCCUUCUCGAAAAGGGGACUUACCUUUCUGAUUUCACAGUAGGAGGCAAAAGCGUUACAAACCUCAUUACACAGGCUCUGUCUCCCUCUCCCUCUCCUCUUCUCCACCGUCAAAUGACUGGCAGAAUCAUGAGACUUCCUUGAGCCAUCACGCUCUCUACUUCAGUUAACAUCUCAAGGCGUGAACAGCCCCAGGAGCAAUCUGGCUUCCCUGGAGGGAUCCAGAAUUUAGAGGCAGAUCUCACCUGACUGUAAUCAAACCAGACUUGAAGAUCUCAUCAUAAACCAGGCGAAUGAGAUAAAGGUUACUCGAUUUUGUGUUCCAAGUUAGGCAUUCAGUCUAGCCUCACUACAACAAAAUUUUCUCCUUAAAACAUUUUUAUUAUGCAAAUAUUUAUCUAUAAACAUUUGUCCCUUUCCCCUCUUUUCUAGGAGAGCUCUGUGUACGUACUUGGUUCUAUAAUAAAGAUUUUUGAUUUGCAGUAGCAUCCAGGAUGUAAAACAUUGCCAGAUUGCAACCCCAAAGUGCUAUAAAAGUUUUAAGACAUUGGAGAUGAUUUACUAAAUUAUUGACAACUCUAUUGUUCGAAAGACUUGCAAGUUAAAAGUGCAUAUUUAAGGAGAAAGGCUGCCGAUGUGGAAUCUCUUCAGCUCUGACCCAUCAGUCGGUGUGCAACCUUAUCUUCCUAGAACACCUUUGAAAUCCACAAGAAUUCUGCUGACUUAAGGAGACAGGAGCACGCCUCCAAUAGUAACAGGGGUGCCACAGGUACCCCACCUCUCACAGAAGGACUCCAUGCUGCAGGUCUGACUACAGAGUCAGGCACCCAUCCUUCCCCUUCUAACAUGUAACUGAUGAGACAUCCUUUUUCAAAGGAAACAGCAAAGCCGUACAAAUUCAAGCUUCCAACUCAUGGGUCUUCCAAAUGACCAUGAAUAUUCAACAUUUAUCCACAUGUAAGCAAGACAUCGAUGAUUAACAAGCUGAAAUCAAGAUUAGUCUGACACCACUGUCACGGUUCAUUUUAUAUGCCAACUUGGCUGCCCUGAGGGAUGCCCAGAUAGCUGGUAAAACACUAGUUCUGGGUGAGUCUGUGAGGGUGUAUCUGGAAAUGAUUAGCAUUUGAUCUGGUAGACUGAGGAAAGACCCACUCUCAGCAAGGGGGGCAGCAUCGUCCAGUCCAUUCAGUGCCUGAAUGGAACAGGAAAGUGAUGGAAGGGUGAGUUCUCUCUCUUCUUGAGCUGGAAUGCCCAUCUUCUCCUGCCCUUGGACAUGGAAGCCCCCAUCCUUGGACCUUCAGACUCUAGGACUUAACCCAGUGGUCCGCCAGCUCUCAGGAUUUUGAACUUGGACUGAACUAUACCACUGGCUUUCCUGGUCCUCCAGCUUGCAGAGAGCAGACUGUGGAACAUCUCAGCCUUCACAAACGCAUGAACCAGUUACCACUAUAAAUCUCCUCUUUUAUCUGUAUUUCUCCCUGUAUCUAUUACUGUGUACCUGUAUCUGCAUUGAUAUCCUAUUGGUUCUGUGUCUCUGGAGGAUCCUACCACCACCACCUUACAAAAAUAUAUCUGCCUUCUGAUGGAACACUUCGAGAAGCUGAACCUUAAAACACAAGAACUGCUUUCUGAUUUCCUAACUAAAACAGCUUGACCGCAUCACUGCAACACCUCCCCCUUGCUUUGUUUUUUAUAAUACUUAUAGCUCUCUGUAUAAGUAUAUGGAGUACUUACAGCUCCCAAUUUUUACAUGGAAGACUUGUCUAUUGUGGCCCCACAUCCACCCCCAGGAAUAUAAGUUCUCUGGCGACAAGGAUUUUGGGUACCACGUUAAUUUCUGUGUCUCCAGUGCCCACCCACAAUGCCUGAUACAGAAUAGUAAGUAUUUGGUAAGUGACCAAAUGUUGCGUUACCUUACACAUCAGUAAUUUUAAGCCGAAGGGCAAACUGUAGAGUGAGAAGGGGAGAUGCAGAUAAACAGAAGAAUUUGUGGACCAUUAAAGGUGGUGAGCGCAUCCCCUGAGACAGCAGUUCUAGAUGAUUCUGUGUCUAGUGGAAACUUACAGGUUUUGGAACUUGCUAGGAUUUCUGUCCUCACGACGUGUGGGAGGCUGAUUAAAAUCAGUGUCCCUGACAUCCUUGUAAUUUUUAGUAGAAACAGAACACAAAGCACAGUUUCCCCUUCAACCUCCUCUACCUUUUCUUUGGUUCUAGCGACAGGACUUGUCAGAAGUGAGCCGCCCCGAGACUGAGCAUCUUUUUGGACUGAACUUAAAGACCAUGCUGCUUCAGGGGCCUCGUGGUUAUUCACUAGAAGUCCUGCUGGGUCAGAUAAGGUCCCUGGGGCAAUGAGAAAACCCCCAUUUUCCCUGAACCCUGUCCUAAAAAGGGGAUUAUAUGCUCCAGAUUGAGACAGUCAUAGAUGGAGCAGUUUCCACCUUUGUGCAUUUAGAUGGGGAAACAGUCAAGAAGGUCAGCCUUUGAAUGUUCUUGGUUUUAUUCAAGUCUGUCUUAGAAAUCACCUUGCUAUGCAUUCACCUGACACAAGACCCUUGGACACUGAGCAUUUUGUCUAACAUGGGACUUUGGAAACAUCUAAGCUUCUCCAUGGCAUUGGUUGAAAAUGGCCAGCUAACAUUUUACUGGUUCUGCUUAAUUCAUACUUAGACCUAAGACAGUUCAUGAUUUCAGUUAACAGAAUGGCUCUGUUUCAGGACACAGAUAAUAAGAGCAGAGCAGUUUACCCAGGAAAGUGAAUGUUUUAUUAUACAGUCAUGACACUCCAUUAUUAUUUAUGGUAUAAAAUGAAAAGAAGGAUUUUUAAAGGAGGAAAAUAUCUAAUUUUAUAAAAAAAAUUUAUUAGAAACAAAUGUGAUGUUUAAAAUUUGGACUAGAUGUUCUCGUGGGAUAAAGUGAAAUAUAGUCAAACAUCACAGUUUUGGACUAAUUGGAGUCCAGGUAAAUUACAAAACAAUUUCAAUAAAAUGCAAUUUCCAGUCUGUCAAGUACUUUAAUAAAUAGAUAAGCUGCUCCCUGGCAAAGUCCUUUUGCAUAGCAUAGCUAAUUCUUUUUGACUAGAAGGCACAAGGAGAUGUUAGUCUGGCUAAGUCAUAGCAUCACGGACUCCAAAUUAGUGAAUUGCAACUAAAUCAGCUUUUACUGUGCAUCUCAAGUUCCCAAUAACUGUAAGUAAGGAUUCUAGGGGAAGAAACUCAGUGUUCAGUAUAUGUCCCCAAAUUAUUUGUGCCUGAGUCCAAAAUCUUCAAAUUCUACUUCCCUGCUCUGGGUAAAUUAUAAUCUAGGGUUUGGGACAUUCUGUGGCCACGAUCAACAUAUUUAUAGAUUUUCAGUGUCCUAAUACAAGUUAAAUUUCCCUUUUAAAUAUAUACAACUAAGCAUCAGAUAUCAGGACGUCUAAAUUUUUAAUAUUAUCCGCAUUAAUAAAAAUAAACUUAUCUAGUUUGGGCCCCCAUAUGCCAAGUACAGCACUGAAAAGUAGAGAGUUAAAUGGACUAGCCCAGGAAUCUUUAAUUGGACAAUUAAUUGUACAUGAAAAAGACUGCUCCUUUAUAACUCUGCAUGCACCCUCUCGAGAUUUCUCUGCAGUCUGCAUUCCCCAAAGGGAGGCUGAAUGGCCAAGCUUCUCUUCCUUAUGGAUUCCAUUGGAAAUAUGAUGCUGUAUAAACCCCCAACAAACAACUAUAAAUCUAGCAAACAUCCACUGUGUCUGUAAAGAUGGAAUGAUUCUUCUCCAGACAAGCUUUGGAAAAUAAUGUAUUGAUUUCUGAUGGCAAUUUAUUGUUCUUUGCAAUCAACUGUGUUUAUACUGUGGCCCUAAAUUAUAACCCUUCCUCUUUCAUUCCUGGUCUUUGGAAUGCGAAAUCAGAGAGCCAGAAAGCUCCAAAGAGGUCACCUCCAAAAUACAUGAAAUUUAGAUGAAUUUUUUUCGAGUCAUAAAAUUUCUACUCACUCUCGUCUUUUUUUUUUUUUUUUUUUGGUAGCAUCACGUCAAAUGGCACAGCAUUAACUAAUUCUUAGGCUUUUACCCAAAGUACCCCUGACCCACUCAAAAUAAAGAACAAUCACAGAGUUCCUAAAAUUCAGGCCCCCUUUCUUCCCAGAAUAUUGAAUCCCAAGGUCAUCCA